rnacentral:rRNA from 1 species
GAUGAACGCUGGCGGCGUGCCUAACACAUGCAAGUCGAACGGAGUCCAGCCUUUAAGACCUUCGGGUCAAAGAGGGGAAGACUGAGUGGCGGACGGGUGAGUAACACGUGGGCAACCUGGCUCAUAGAGGGGGAUAACAGAGAGAAAUUUCUGCUAAUACCGCAUAAGCACACACUGCCGCAUGGCAGAGGGUGAAAAGAGAAUCGCUAUGAGAUGGACCCGCGUCUGAUUAGCCAGUUGGCAGGGUAAGAGCCCACCAAAGCGACGAUCAGUAGCAGAUCUGAGAGGAUGAACGGCCACAUUGGGACUGAGACACGGCCCAAACUCCUACGGGAGGCAGCAGUGGGUGAUAUUGCACAAUGGGGGGAACCCUGAUGCAGCGGCGCCGCGUGAGUGAAGAAGUAUUUCGGUAUGUAAAUCUCUAUCAGCAGGGAAGAUAAUGACAGUACCUGAAUAAGAAGCCCCGGCUAACUACGUG